UUUGACCUCAAAUCAGGUAGGACUACCCGCUGAACUUAAGCAUAUCAAUAAGCGGAGGAAAAGAAACUAACAAGGAUUCCCCUAGUAACUGCGAGUGAAGAGGGAAAAGCUCAAAUUUGAAAUCUGGCAGUCUCUGGCUGUCCGAGUUGUAAUUUAGAGAAGUGUUACCCGUGCUGGACCGUGUGUAAGUCUCCUGGAAUGGAGCGUCAUAGAGGGUGAGAAUCCCGUCUUUGACACGGACUCCCAGUGCAUUGUGGUGCGCUCUCGAAGAGUCGAGUUGUUUGGGAAUGCAGCUCUAAAUGGGUGGUAAAUUCCAUCUAAAGCUAAAUAUUGGCGAGAGACCGAUAGCGAACAAGUACCGUGAGGGAAAGAUGAAAAGAACUUUGGAAAGAGAGUUAAACAGUACGUGAAAUUGCUGAAAGGGAAACGCUUGAAGUCAGUCGCGUUGGCCAGGGAUCAACCUUGCUUUUUAGUGAGGCGUACUUCCUGGUUGACGGGUCAGCAUCAGUUUUGACCGCUGGAGAAAGGCUUGGGGAAUGUGGCAUCUCCGGAUGUGUUAUAGCCUCUUGUCGUAUACAGCGGUUGGGACUGAGGAACUCAGCACGCCGCAAGGCCGGGUUUUUAACCACGUUCGUGCUUAGGAUGCUGGCAUAAUGGCUUUAAGCGACCCGUCUUGAAACAC
rnacentral:rRNA from 1 species